AAGUAUCUCCGAGUCUCUCCUGUGACGGGGGAGAUAGGAGUAACGGCUGGUUGGCACAGCCAUCGACGGUCUUGUUUGACACGGAAACUGGUGCGUUCACACCUCAAGAACACAUAACGUCGUAAACCACAAUAUCCCACCGCGGGAAUCCUCGCCCUUCAGGGCGGGAG
rfam:Halostagnicola larsenii XH-48 plasmid, complete sequence.